GGUCGAUUAGCUCAGUUGGUUAGAGCGUGGUGCUAAUAACGCCAAGGUGAGUCACCUCACUUAUUGUUAAGUGACCUAUCUAACAUUCCUUAGGCCGAGGGUUCGACCCCCUCAUUGACCA